rnacentral:rRNA from 1 species
AUUGAACGCUGGCGGCAUGCCUUACACAUGCAAGUCGAACGGUAACGCGGGGCAACCUGGCGACGAGUGGCGAACGGGUGAGUAAUGUAUCGGAACGUGCCCAGUUGUGGGGGAUAACUGCUCGAAAGAGCAGCUAAUACCGCAUACGACCUGAGGGUGAAAGCGGGGGAUCGCAAGACCUCGCGCAAUUGGAGCGGCCGAUAUCAGAUUAGGUAGUUGGUGAGGUAAAGGCUCACCAAGCCGACGAUCUGUAGCUGGUCUGAGAGGACGACCAGCCACACUGGGACUGAGACACGGCCCAGACUCCUACGGGAGGCAGCAGUGGGGAAUUUUGGACAAUGGACGCAAGUCUGAUCCAGCCAUGCCGCGUGCGGGAAGAAGGCCUUCGGGUUGUAAACCGCUUUUGUCAGGGAAGAAACGCUCUGGGUUAAUACCUCGGGGUAAUGACGGUACCUGAAGAAUAAGCACCGGCUAACUACGUGCCAGCCGCCGCAGUAAGAC